rnacentral:tRNA from 1 species
GCCUUCGUGGUGUAGUGGUUAGCACGAUCGAAGUGUAACCGAGAAGUCAGUGGUUCGAUUCCCGGUGAAGGCU